GGAAUAUUGGACAAUGGGUGAAAGCCUGAUCCAGCCAUCCCGCGUGAAGGAUGACGGUCCUAUGGAUUGUAAACUUCUUUUGUAUAGGGAUAAACCUAGAUACGUGUAUCUAGCUGAAGGUACUAUACGAAUAAGCACCGGCUAACUCCGUGCCAGCAGCCGCGGUAAUACGGAGGGUGCAAGCGUUAUCCGGAUUUAUUGGGUUUAAAGGGUCCGUAGGCGGACCGAUAAGUCAGUGGUGAAAUCUCAUAGCUUAACUAUGAAACUGCCAUUGAUACUGUCGGUCUUGAGUAAAUUAGAGGUAGCUGGAAUAAGUAGUGUAGCGGUGAAAUGCAUAGAUAUUACUUAGAACACCAAUUGCGAAGGCAGGUUACCAUGAUUUAACUGACGCUGAGGGACGAAAGCGUGGGUAGCGAACAGGAUUAGAUACCCUUG
rnacentral:rRNA from 1 species